rnacentral:lncRNA from 1 species
UAAAGAGCAUAUAAUGAUUGGACUGCCCCGUCAAGCUUCGCGAUUGUGCUGCUAACAUGGACGAUGCCAUUAAGAUGAUUGUCCCAUAACAAUAUGAAAAAUCAAAUAAGUUUGUGUAUUUGGACCUGUGGAUUAGAAAUUUAAUUCCUAAUUCAAUUAGGAACUUUCUUACUCUAUUCAUCUAUAAUCGUCAUGUUUACCUUCGUUUAUUCUCUUAAUUUUCCUUUAUUCAUUUUCCUAAUUUAGGUUAUACUUUGUAUUUAUAUUUGAGUAGAGUGGAAGAAUAAAAUUUAAGCUUCUAAAUUUCUUCUUGGUAUCAGAGCACUAAAACAAAAAACUAGCCUCCAAACUGCCGUCAAAGCAGCCCAAACCCUAACAGCCCCACCCGGCACAGCCUCUCAAAGCACUACAUACAAAAAAAAAAAAACUAACAAAGCCUACAACCAACCACAAGUCCCCUGCCCACUGCACCAUCAGCCCUGCCCCUGCAACAUGCAGCAAGCACGCACUGUGGCCGCACGUGCCGUGUGUUAGUCCCAGAAAGCAACCCACUCAGCCCCACACCAAUAGCCCUGCCCCUGCAACCUGCACGUGCAAGCCAACACGCACUGUGCAGCCUGUGCCGUGUGUAGUCCAGAAAGCAACCACACAGCCCCCCCCUGCAGUUCCCCUGCCCUCCUGACCACGCAGCCCCGCAGCCACGCAGCCCUUCCGCUGCACCGUACAGCCCCUGGCAGUCUACCCCAUUCCAGCCUAUGCAGCCCAGUCCCACAGCCAGCUAGCUUACAGUCCAUGCCUACCCGCCCAGUCCAGCCAUCAGCCUGUUGCAACCCCGUCGCUGUGCAGUUCUAGCCAGCCCGUCCAGCCAACCAGCCUUGCAGCAAGGCCUGUGCACGCCCAUCCAGCAGCCAGCAGCCCCACCACCAGCACCCCUUCUCCUGACUCACGCAGCCAGUCCAGCCAGCCCACAGCCACGCAGCCCAGCCCAGCCCCUGCAUUUGGGCAGUCUAGCCACGCCGCCUAGGUAUGAUGCUCUUCUAAAAAAAAGAAAAAAGAGUACAAUGUCUGAUAAUUUACGAUUGGUUCUUGGUGUUGCGGUGAUGGCUGACUCACUCAAAGAAGUUACCACCCCAGCCCUAUGUUCCGGUUCUUAGACCAUUUCCAUUCUCUUCUCAUUCUCACCACUUCAACUGUUACGACGUGUUGUUGAUGAAAAGAACUUUCAUGCUUGGUCUCGUUUGUUUUCAUCUUUACCUGUGGUGACGCGCAAGACCCGUUGGUUCUGGAAAGGAACCAAAACCUGCUGAAUCGAUCCCAAGUUUAUGAAUGGGUUUCAGUAAUUGUAUUAUCUUGGGCUGGAUGUUCAACUCGAGGUAGGAUCGAGUCUAUUCAGCAUGUUUAUUUAACCAUGAUACUGUCCAUGGGUUAUGGCUGCAUUGACCCAUAUGUUGACCCCAUACCCGCAAUGAGUCCGGAUUUUGAACUAGCCGAGAGAUCUCUCAUUCCUCUCCAGACGUUCCUAGGACUCUCUAUUUUGCCGAUUAUUUUGGAUAUCUUCAGACUAGAUGGGAGGAAUUAGCUCAAUCCGAGCCACUCAGUGAUUUUUUUCCUAGUGAUGGAGCCGUUGAGUCCAAACGCCUUGAUCUCGACAUACAUAUCAGUUUUUGAUGGGGUUUGAAACCUGAGUUCGAACUUCUUUCGCCUCAGAUUUUAAACACAUCACCCUCCUUCCCUUUCUGAGGCGUUUGCUAUAGUGGAUGGUGAGCGCGGAGCGUCGUCUUUUACCAUCUCUUUCACUCCCGAGUCCUCCUCCUAUUGUUCUAGACCGAUGGCAUUUUGCUUCCUUCAGGGACGCACUUAUAUUGUCAGCACUGUCCAAGCCCGGUCACCCCUCAUUGAUGCGUUGUUGGUUCUCCAUCCUGAGAUGAAGCAGCAGUUUUCUCGACCUCGUGGGGGUGGUCUGGGGGCGGACGUAGUGGGGGCCGAGUAGAGGCACUCUCCGACUGGCGCUAUGCUGAAGUGAACCCAUACCUGCUAAUUUACCUGCUCAAACACUUCAGCUCCAGAUUGCUCAGGCUGCAGUCACACUUGGAUUAGCUACUGCCUCCCAGUCUCUGGCCCCACAGCCGCUAUAGUGUUGGGCAGAGACGCCUACCGCUCUUCAUGUAAGUCAGGUCCACCCCCUUGGCUUUUGAUUCAGGAGCAAAUAAUCAUAUGAACUGGUGAGGCUUACUACCUUUACCUCACCUGUUACUUCUUUCAUCAUCAGUUUGUAUUGCUUAUUGGAUCAUCCAUUCCCAUUCGUAUCAGGGAGUGCUCGUUUUAGCCUCCGAUAUUACCUUUCAUCUGUAUAUUAUACCUCAUUUUGCCAUAAUCUUCUUUCUGUUGUCGUCUUGCAAGAUCUUACUUGGGCUGUUGUUUUUCUUACGCAUCUCAUGCUUCUUGCAGGACCUGACUUCGAAGAGAUUUUGUCAAGGGGUAUGAGCGUGAUGACUAUAUA